rnacentral:rRNA from 1 species
AGAGUUUGAUCCUGGCUCAGAACGAACGCUGGCGGCAUGCCUAACACAUGCAAGUCGAACGCGUCCUUCGGGACGAGUGGCGGACGGGUGAGUAACGCGUGGGAACCUGCCUUGGGGUUCGGGAUAACCCGGCGAAAGCCGGGCUAAUACCGAAUACGUCCUCGGGAGAAAGAUUUAUUGCCCUGAGAUGGGCCCGCGUC